rnacentral:rRNA from 1 species
CCUACGGGUGGCAGCAGUGAGGAAUAUUGGUCAAUGGGCGGAAGCCUGAACCAGCCAAGUAGCGUGCAGGAUGACGGCCCUACGGGUUGUAAACUGCUUUUAUACGGGAAUAACGCGCCUUACGUGUAGGGCGUUGCAUGUACCGUAUGAAUAAGGACCGGCUAAUUCCGUGCCAGCAGCCGCGGUAAUACGGAAGGUCCGGGCGUUAUCCGGAUUUAUUGGGUUUAAAGGGAGCGUAGGCCGCAUGUCAAGCGUGCGGUGAAAUGUCCGGGCUCAACCCGGGCCUUGCAGCGCGAACUGGCGUGCUUGAGUCCGCGGAAGGCAGGCGGAAUUCGUGGUGUAGCGGUGAAAUGCUUAGAUAUGACGAAGAACCCCGAUUGCGAAGGCAGCUUGCUGCAGCGGAACUGACGCUGAUGCUCGAAAGCGCGGGUAUCGAACAGGAUUAGAUACCCCUGUAGUC